GCACCCGUAGCUCAGUGGAUAGAGCACCGGACUUCUAAUCCGAUGGUCGCAGGUUCGAACCCUGCCGGGUGCGCCA
rnacentral:tRNA from 1 species